rnacentral:snRNA from 1 species
AUUGCUCCUUGGCCAUUUGGCUAAGAUUAAGUAUAAUAUCUGUUCUUACAGUUUAAUAUCUGAUAUGUACCCUGUCAGAAGAUAAUACAUUAAAUGGGUUUUUGCUACAGAGGAAAAAAUUAUAGAGGCAGUUCUAAAUAGUUUAAUAGAU